UUGAGGAGGGAGCCUCAGAUAGAGGGGUGCCCCGGAAGUCAGCUUCCCUAUCACUCCAGGCAAGUUUAUCUAGUGAGACUGGAUCUUGUAAGCCAGAGGAUGUGGCAUAAUUUUAAUAACUUUAUAUAAUCUGACCAAAAAUGGGACUGUAGUGGGGUGGCUGCCCCCUUCCUAUCCUAGAUGGGGCUUCAGCAGGCCAGGGAGGCGGUACAGGUGGGCGGCCAAUCAGAGGUUGAGUUAGAGACGGCCAAUCAGAGCCAGACUCAGCCAUAUAUAAAGGCUGCCCAGGAAGGGAGUGGGGAGUUUCUCCCUGGUGGUCAAGGGAGGAGGACUGGCUCCUCUGCUGGAAGGUAGCACCUUGGACAGGGCAGUGCUGGGGAAGGUCAGAAGGAGCUGGGGAGCUCCGGCCAAGGAAAACCCCAGGCUGCCGGCCUAGGCCAGGCAGGUGCAUAGGGCCGAAGGGGAAGUGGCCCAGGGACAAUAGCAGGGUAAGGGGAGAGAAGGAGGGCAGAGAGGCUGCUGCUAGAGGGUCCCUGGGUCCCCCCCUUCCCCUUGUGCUACACCGGGCUGAAGAGGAGCGUGCCCCGAUGCAGGCUGUGGCGGGGCCCUGCGAUAAGGUGCUAGAUUUAGAGGCUGCAGCCAGCCACUACAACAGGUGCAGAUCGUGGACUGCUGAUAACACCAAACCCCCGGAAGGGGGUGAGACCGGAGCAGUGGGCACUGCCGGAGGGAAGUGUCCUGAAGAGGACACUGCCGAGCGGGGAGCAAUGAGGGUCCCCAAAGCAGCAGAGCAGACGAAGGGCAAGGCACCAUGCGAAAAGUGCUCCAUGACUGGACAGAGCUAAUUCCCGGAGCAACCAGCAGAAGGCGCCAGCGGUGGUCUGAAGAGCCCCAGUAUUGGAAGAAAAAGGACAACAUUUUCAUCUCCUACAAAUGCAACUAAAAUAAACAAGCAGUAAAUAUGAGCACGUUGCAUCAAGUCCAGAGCUGGGCUUUGCUCCCUCCCUGAUUUGGGGGAAAUAAGAAACGUAAAGGAGACUCUCGGCUUUCAUUAAAAAGGACAUUUUUUAAACCAAAGAUAGCCUUGAAAAUGUAAACCAAGCGCUAAGUUUGAAAGCACCUCACUGAUUCUUCAUAAACAGGCUUGGCAGAAUUUGAUUUAUUUUUUUUUUAAAAUGUCACUGGAUAAUAUUGAGGUUUGUGUUUUUUAAGCAUUUUUUUUCAUUUUUAUUUAAAUGAUCACAGUUGUGGAGAAUUCUGGGGAUUUGUGUCAAACAGUAAUUAUUUAAUGACAGUAGAUGUUGAGACUCAAAAAGUUAAAGCUUUAUAGCCACUAAAACACAAAUUGUCAACAUCGCAUGUCAAAAUGCACAACUGUAAAUAUCUUUAAAACACACUCUGUCCUCAAGUGGUGUUUUCUUACUUUGCCAAUCCAUAAAUUUCAGUGAUCAUUGAUGGAAA